rnacentral:rRNA from 1 species
AGAGUUUGAUCCUGGCUCAGAUUGAACGCUGGCGGCGUGCCUAACACAUGCAAGUCGAGCGGUAACAGGUGUAGCAAUACAUGCUGACGAGCGGCGAACGGGUGAGUAAUGCUUCGGAAUCUACCCUCUAGUGGGGAAUAACCAGCCGAAAGGUUGGCUAAUACCGCAUACGUCCUACGGGAGAAAGCAGGGGAUCGUAAGACCUUGCGCUGAUGGAUGAGCCGAAGUCGGAUUAGCUAGUUGGUGGGGUAACGGCUCACCAAGGCGACGAUCCGUAGCUGGCCUGAGAGGACGACCAGCCACACUGGAACUGAGACACGGUCCAGACUCCUACGGGAGGCAGCAGUGGGGAAUAUUGGACAAUGGGGGAAACCCUGAUCCAGCGACGCCGCGUGUGUGAAGAAGGCCUGCGGGUUGUAAAGCACUUUUAGUGGG